CUGACGGGCGCGUACGGGUCAAUUGCGGCUUGCAACACCCGAUCUCGCUGGUCGUCCCUCCGAAAAUGGAGGUCGACGAGGGAGAGCGCGUAACAGUCAG
rnacentral:ncRNA from 1 species